rnacentral:rRNA from 1 species
UACAGAGGUGGCAAGCGUUGUUCGGAAUUACUGGGCGUAAAGGGCGCGUAGGCGGCCUACUAAGUCAGACGUGAAAUCCCCAGGCUUAACUUGGGAACUGCGUCUGAUACUGGGAGGCUUGAGUGCGGGAGAGGGAUGUGGAAUUCCAGGUGUAGCGGUGAAAUGCGUAGAUAUCUGGAGGAACACCGGUGGCGAAGGCGGCAUCCUGGACCGACACUGACGCUGAGGCGCGAAAGCCAGGGGAGCAAACGGG